GUGUGGUGGUUGGAGAAGGGUGGGAAAGGCUGUAAGAGGCUGUCACUCCCCUCAGUGGAAAAUGUCCUGCCAGAGGAGGAGAUCUAAGCCUGCCUCUAGUCUGGAACUCAGCUGGCUGCCUGGCUUUCUAGCAGAACUUCUCCUCCAGGAAGCCCACCGGCAUCUCGCAGAUGAAACUCAGUGAAUCUUCAUUGACACGAGCAUCAUCAUCCUCAUCCCCAUCUUCCAGAUGAGAAGACUGAGGCACAGCGCAGUUUCAGGUACAACACAACGAUUCGAUAUUUGUAAAUCUUGAGAAACGAUCGCCACGGUAAGUCUAGUUAGCUUCCGUCACCAUGCAUAGUUACAAAUUUUUUUUCUUGUGAUCAGAACUUUUAGCAUCUCCUCUCUUAGCAUCUUUCCAAUACACGAUAUAGCAUUAUUAACUACAGUCACCACGCCAUCUAUUACACCCCCAGGACUUAAUUAUUUUAUAUCUGGAAGUUUGUACCUUUUGACCUCCUUCACCCAUUUCCCACCCCCGAC